AUAUUCCGAUGAUUAGAUGUGCUGCCGUCAGAACAGGAACAGUCUGCCUCAUCUGCCGUCCGUGCCAGCUGUCAUAUUCGAGCAGUGUCCGGCAAACCUUCUGACGAUGAUUUUUAGAUUCCUGGAUGACAACCUUCCUUUGGUGAAGGAUAUCCUUGGCUUGCAGUUUGGGAUCCUACUUUCGGUGAAGGAUUGGAUUUUUGCAUUCCUGUUCGGCAUCUUAGGGAGAGUGACGAAUUUUGGCUUCCUGAAGGGCGCAAUUCGGAGGGCGAAGAAAAUCCUUGGCUUGCCGCUCGAGAUCCUCCACUCCUUGAAGGAUUGGCUUUUGGGAUUUUGGAUUUUCGGAUUUCUGGUGGGCGUCUGGCGGAGGGUGGCGGAGUUUGACUUCCUGUAUGACGCACUUCAUAUGGUUAACGAUAUUCUUGGUUCCUCGUAUGGGAUUCUACUUGCGCUGAUUGAUAGACUGUUUGGCUGCCUGUUUGGGUACGUAAAGUGACGGAGGAAAUUGCAGCCGUGAGGAAAGAGAACAAAAAAUUAAAGGACUUUGCUAGAACGUUACAGGCGGAAGAAAAGGCAUUAUUACUGAAAAGUAAAAGGCAAUGGAGUGACCCGACGCAUGCAGCACAGGGUCACUCGGAGGAGCAUGUAUUAAGGUCAAGGGAGAAGGAAUCAAGGCAGGUAAAUCCUCGUCAGGCAGAACUGGUCGAGGACGAGGAGGAAAUCCUGAGGAGAAGGGAACAGGAAUGGAGGCAGGCAGGUCCUCCUCAGCGGGCACGCAAGCCUCCAGCGAAACCCUUGACGCAGGCAGAACUGGUGGAGGAGGAGGAGGAAAUCCUGAGGAGAAGGGAACAGGAAUGGAAGCAGGCAGGUCCUCCUCAGUGGGCACGCAGGCCACCACCGGAAUAUUAAGGAAAUAUUAAGGAGAAAGGAAAAGUAACGAGAUUAGUUAGAUCCUCCUCAUCAGGAUCUCGUGCCGCCUGCGAGACACUGACAGGUAAAACUGAAAAAGAAUGAGGAAGAUAUUUUGAGGAGAAAAGGAGAAAAUUAGAAGUAGAAGUAUAGAAAAUGUAUGAAUGACAAUGUAAAUAUAAAAGUGCGAAUGAGAAAUACAUGUGUUGUGAAAUAAUUAAUUCUGAUUCAUAA